AUCCACAGUGAGGCUGCUCACCAGUCGGGCUCGGCUGUACUCCAGGACUCAGUAGAUCCUGGGUACAAGCCCAGCCCGACUGUAAACUGACACAAUGCAGACUGCUCCUGACUUCCACAGGAGUCAGAGCCAGAGAGAAUCAGCAAAGGCAGAGAUUGUCUGAUUACCAGCAGAGGAGGGCUUCCAGUGAUAUUUUCCACUUACAAACCAGAAGCUGGAAGCAACUAAAUGACCCUCAACUGAAAAAUGGAAAGAGAAAAUUUGGCACAUUGACACAAUGGAGUACUACUCAGCAGAAAAAAUGGAAUCUUGAAAUUUGCAGGAAAAUGGAUGGAACUACAAGAAACCUUUCUAAGCAAGAGUCUCAAUGUGCUAAACACCAGGAUCUCAAACUCAUCACUGAAGCCAGGAUUCUUCUCAGUAUCAUAAGGGACCAACAGAUACACAGCCCUACCUGUUGCAGAUGUUAGUCUACAACCACCUCCAUUUUCACUUAACAACUUUUAUUUCCAUUGCAUGAUGAAAAUCAAUUUAAAUAUAAUGUUUUCUCAUUUACUACAAAUUUGAAGAAUUUUGUUUCAAUGUAACUGUAUAUUUAUAAGUUGUGGUUUUAAUUUUUGGCAGAUUGUUUUACAUGUGAAUCCCAGUUCCCUCUUGCUCCCCUCCUCACCUACCACCUCCCCAAGCUAAAACCCCACCUAUUACAUAUUGUUUCUACUCCCCAGGGAGAUUGACGCAUAGAGGU
rnacentral:lncRNA from 1 species